UACGGGGGAUGCAAGCGUUAUCCGGAUUUAUUGGGUUUAAAGGAUGCGUAGGCUGUGAGGUAAGUCAGCGGUGAAAUGCCCCCGCUCAACGGGGUGAAGUGCCAUUGAUACUGCCUUGCUGGAAUGCGGAUGCCGUGGGAGGAAUGUGUGGUGUAGCGGUGAAAUGCAUAGAUAUCACACAGAACACCGAUUGCGAAGGCAUCUCACGAAUCCGCUAUUGACGCUGAUGCACGAAAGCGUGGGUAUCAAACAGG
rnacentral:rRNA from 1 species